rnacentral:rRNA from 1 species
GACGUAGGGUGCAAGCGUUGUCCGGAAUUAUUGGGCGUAAAGAGUUCGUAGGCGGUUAUUUAAGUCUGGUGUUAAAGACGGGAGCUCAACUCCCGCAUGGCAUUGGAAACUGGAUAGCUAGAGUCACGGUAGAGGUCUCGGGAAUUCCAGGUGUAGCGGUGAAAUGCGUAGAUAUCUGGAGGAACACCGGUGGCGAAAGCGCGAGACUGGGCCGUAACUGACGCUGAGGAACGAAAGCCAGGGUAGCCAAAGGG